GGGCCAUGGGACCCUCGCUAUCAUUUAGUGACGAACUUUUCGGCGAAUUCGUUUUUGCGACGUUGAGCUGAAUUUUCCAAGUCAUGGCUCACAACUGUCUUUGGCCUUUUUGCUCCCCAAAUCUGUUGUACAUGGGAGAUGUGAAGUGACCCCACUACAAAUAGUUGGUACUAUGGACAGAAUGGAUUGGUGUGACAUUUACUAUGGCAAGCUGGUAUCCAAGAGAAUGUCAUUAGUACCUGAAGCUUACUACUGCAUCUUAGGAAAUGUCUGGAGGAGAGUAUGGAGCAUAUGCAAACUGGCAUUAGGGUGUAAAGGGUGAAACAAAGAAGGACAUGGCAGCCACUUGCUAGUCAUCUUCAAGAAGGAAUCCACUGUAGGGAAUGAUGCUGGAGAAGAACUACAAAAAUCUGUCAAUCAAGUGGAAGAUGCCUCUUUCUAGUUAUCCAGAGGAUAAAAAAGGCAAGUAUGGUCUGAUCAUGGUUAGCAGGGGCAUAGCAAGAAUAUUUUAGAAGAGGAUCUUUACCUUAGCAGCUAACUCGGAACCAUACCAGGUUAUUUUAUUGCUAAUGUCCGUCUCAUUUUAUUCACUC